UACGUAGGGUGCGAGCGUUAAUCGGAAUUACUGGGCGUAAAGCGUGCGCAGGCGGUUCGUGAUGUCUGAUGUGAAAGCCCCGGGCUCAACCUGGGAAUUGCAUUGGAAACUAGCGGGCUGGAGUGUGGCAGAGGGGGGUGGAAUUCCACGUGUAGCAGUGAAAUGCGUAGAGAUCCGGAGGAACACCAGUGGCGAAGGCGACACGCUGGGCCGUACCUGACACUGAUGCGCGACAGCAUGGGGAGCAAACAGG
rnacentral:rRNA from 1 species